AGGCUGGCCACAAACUCAUAGCCUUCCAGCCUAUGGGGUUUUACACAGCCAUGUCCAGUCUUAUAUUUUUUAAGACAUGUAAAUCCCACUGAGCAAAUGUCUCCCAUUGUGUCCUUUGCUCCAUUAACAGGAUCACUUUUUAAUUUGGAGAUUAGAAACUGGUUAUUCCCUGGAUAUACAGAGUCUAUGUUUCAGUAGAAAUGUGCUUUGUAGUUCAUAAUUUACCAUCAUGAUGGUCAGGGACAUAUUGUACAGGAUCCCAUAAAAUAAGCACCUGCUAGUGGUGUCACCUGGGUUUAUAAGCAAACUGUACACAAACAGCAACACUGCCCCUUGACACCUCUCAAAAUGUGGGUCAAGUGAGGGCCAGCUCUGUGCCAUCUCAGCAUUCAGGUUAAAGGUUUUUGUUUUUGUUUUCUGGAAGAAGUCUUAAUUUGUAACUUUUCUCAGUAAUCUAGAAAAACAAAGUUGCAUCCUUCCUAUUGUGUGUGUUGCUUUAAAAAGCAUGAUGGCAGGAGCAGUGGAGAGCUGGCGAGCUGGUGCAGCAGUUAAGAGCACAAAUGGAGAUUAAUUAAAUAUUGUGAGACCGAGGAAAUAGCCCAGGUAGAGCUAUUGCUUAGCACGUGCAAGGCCCUAAGUUCAGAAAACCAAGAAACCAAAACCAAAACCAUGACAGAACAACGCCCAGGGAACAUGAAACACUGAGUCCAAGAACAACUUCCAUUCUCUGCCUGCCUUGUCUGCUUAACACAGGCAUGUGUUCAUAAAACACAUAACACAUAUACAAUCACACUUGCAUGUGCACACACAAAGCGUUUCUCUGGGACACCUAUUAGUACGUCCAUGUGUGUGUGACUAAAGAACAGCCACUCCAAAUGGCAGGAUCCUGAUGGCAGGGAUCCGUCAGGAAGGAAGAGCUGGGUUACCCUACUUAGAAUCAACGCUUUGGGGCUGUGAUCAUGGGGUAGGUGAGGGACGCACUGUGAGCUCUAAUAAUUACCUUAAGAGUUGCUCAGGAAACAGGGCUUUAGGAAUAGCACAUUUCCCCCUCUCUUUGUAAUGUAUAUAUUUUAUAAAUUAGGGGUGUGUGUGUGUGUGUUUUCCUCCUCUUAACUCUGUCAUAGGGUAUGGUGUUUUCAUUUAGACUUCAAAUUGUUGGAUGUCAAAGGCAAACUAUUGCCUUGAAGGAGUGGGCACCAUAGCAAUGGACCUAUCAGGUAGAGAUCUCCUUCUUGUCCCCCUUUCUCACCCAUGGCAUCAAGGACAGGUGCAAACCUCAUGUGUAAACACAGUAUAUUUAGAAGUUCCACUGUGCACCAAGUGUGUGAGCACAAAAGACCAAAUUGCUAGACUGUACGGUGGUGUCUGUUGGUUGGUUUUAGCCCCUUGUAGUUCCUGCAAAGGGGCUGGAGUCUUGGGGACACAGCUGUGUGACUUGCUUGCCUUCAGUGUUCCACCUGCAUUGGAACAAAGGGACCCCAGAUGACCAGCAAAGGCUGGCAUGAGCAGAUGGCAUACGUGAGGGUUCGCAGGAGCCUCUCUGUUCUGCCGCUCACCUGCUCAGGCUGCAGGCAGCAGAGGUUAUGACCUGGGCUUCCUGCAAUUUCUGCAACCCCCCGACUUCCUGCCCUUGCUGGCUGCGAUCCCAGCCUUCCCUUCCUCCAGCCCUUCCACUGUUUGGAAGCACCUGUGUUAAGUCCUUUCCUGAGCGGGCUACCCAAAGUGCGCUCUGUUUUCCUAAGUGAGCAUGACAGCAGGCUGCCCUUGUCAGACUAGAAAUACAACUGGUCUUAGGCAUAACCAGGAAGGUGUAGAUUUCAGGACUUUAGUGUCCCUGUAUCAAGUGGGCCAAGAUCUGAUGUUCAAGAAGGCCGCGUAGAUGUGAGAGAAUGGGUUCAGGCCGCACCAUUCUGUUUCCCAUCUUCACGUUGGGAUGGCCACAUGCAGAAAACAGCUUAUCUGACCUCAUACUGACCAUCUGCACCCUGUGGAGCACAGGACCCUCUCUGUCUGCAUACUGUUGAGCUCAGUCCUCGGUUCCUAGUUGAAAUGCCAAAGAAAUCAAUAGCCAACUUGAAUAAAGGUCAGUGACUUCAAAGAGGAUACAAACAGAUGAAAGCAGGAUGUCACCGCAAGACCUGUGUAAGAAAGUCAGCAUCACGGGUGGGAAAGUUAUGGAGGAUAUUGAGAUUUUGAAACACACACACAAAUACACACACAAAUACAUAGAUACAGGCACAUACACAUUUACACAUUUGUAUACACAGACAUACAGAUACACAUUUACACAUUGGUAGAUGUACAUAGACACAGAUAUGCACAUACACACUUAACAUACAUGCUAUAAACAUGCAGAUAUACAUACGCACACAUACCUUAAUGAGACACGUUAUCAUGAUGACAGACAGAGCUUGUUUCUGAGUCUUCACAAUAGACUGUCGUUAACCUGAUUCUUCUCACUUACGGCGUCUCUGGAGGCUGCUCUCAUCCCCCAUUAUCCCAGAAGUCUGCCCUCUUUCCAGUAGUUUUCUGAUUAGAUCGUCCUCCUUCACCCUGACACAUAUAUACUGUCUGCAUUGACAUAUCCUAGAUACAUGUAAAAUAUGUAUGCACACGCACAGUUGUACACAGAAAUAGUUAUUGCUAAUUAAGGGUUAGGAUUUUGUACUAAUGCAUUUUUUUUUUCAUCAGAAGAGAUUCACAGAUAGAUGACUUUAUGUGGUAAUCAGUGUGCUUACACAGCUGACCUCUACCGUCCCAGGCGCUGUGAAGUAGCAGGAUCUGCUACAGCGUGUUAAGGGGUAUACACCAUUGUUUGUUAGCUGGGUACUGUGGCUCGCACCUUUAAUCCCUGCGCUUAGGAGGAGGAAGCAGGAGGAUUACUGUGGAUCCGAUGCCAGCCAGGCUAAAGAAUGAGACUUUGUCUAGAACAAACAAAAAUAAUUAAUAAAAAAUCUGUAUUAUUGUAAACAACACCGACACAGAUAUUCUCAUAAAUGCAUCUGACCUUAUUUUCUUGACGCAAGUCACGGAAGGCCAAAUAGCCAGGUGACACGAAUGUUUUUGUUACCUAACUGAAAAAUUGGAUUUCUUCAGAACACUUAGGAGCCAGAUUCCCUCUUUUAAAGUCAUUGUUCCGCAGAUAAGUGUUUACAAGCAAGCGUCUCUCCCCAGUUCGUCACCCCUGUCACCACUAAUGGGAAGCCUCCCGCGUGCUCCAGAGCAUCAGUACGUGCUCAGGGGGAGAGAGACGCCCUGUGAUUACUUUCCAACAUGGGAAGCAGAGCGUGUGUCUCGGACCAGAGGCCCCGUUUGCCAGCACCCAGCCCCAUCCUGACUAGAGGAGUAUGACAUUAACAGAUGUGAAUUACUUAAUCCUCAUCAGCACAGUGUCAGGUGACAGUGUUACCACGGGGGUCAUUAGAAUGGAAGCACAGAACCCUCCUGGCGUGGGCCAGCGGUGGAGAACAGUGCUUCAGCCCUGCGUUCCACACACGGUCUACCCAACAGCUCCUUUGGCUGUUCAGAGACGGGCUGCACCAGAAGCCUGUAAGAUGGAAUGGGCACGUACAAGCAUUUUGCGGAGUUCUCUCUUAAUACAAAAUUAAUAGCUUAAAGCUCUCUAGCUUGAAAACCUUGACGGGAGACAUGAAAGAAAGAUCCCCAGCGAGAAGUUCAUCUUGCAUUGGGUGUCUCGUGGCACUGCGAUUGUAAUUAUGUACAGGCGUGCACUUACCUUCAGAUACUCACGUUCCUGCAUCUAGGAGGAGACACCACCAAAUGCUGUACAGUUAACAAUUUUAAAAGUUAAAAGGAGAAAUCUUGCUGGGCCUAGUGACACACACCUUAGUUCCAGCACCUGGGAGGCAGAGGCAGGGUGUGAGUUUGAGACCAGCCUGGUCUACAGAAUGAGUUCCAGGACAGCCAGAGGUUCACAGAAACAACAAACAAACAAACAAACAAUGGGGAUGGAUGGAUAGGUAGGUAGGUAGGUUGAGAUGGUUCAGCAGUACCCACAUUGUGGAUGGAGAGAACUGAUUUCCAGAAGUUAUCCUCUGAUAUUCAGAUACCCAGUGUAGUGCAUAUGGUACAUAUGUGCCUCCACAGAAAUAAAACAUAAAAGAGAAAAUGCAGUAUGAAUCUUCACAACUGAGCAGCAGAUCGCCCACGAGAGCAGGUGCUGCGUGCUUGUUGAACCUGCCAGGCUUGUAAGCAUCCUUGGACUUUUCUCACGUUGUAAACUUCGCUUAUACAGGACAUUAUACACCGUGGUCCAUGUCUCUUGUCACGUUAGACUGAACACGAUGUCUACUCCCCACCCAGAUCUCUCCACUUUACCUCAUUUAUUCCCACCACGUUAACUUUGUUUUGUUUUGUUUGCUUGUUCGAUAGACAGGGGUGAAGUGGAAACUUAAGGGUUCUUUGCAAAGUCAGACGUGUUAGAUGUUUUGCUGGGGCAAACAUGUAAAAGUUUUCCUGAAGUAGACAUAGGUGAAAGACUAAGGCAGACUCAUGAAGGAACGUUUCACUGAGGCAGACACAGGAGAGAGGAUGUUCUGUUAGAGCAAACACGUGAAAGGACACAGGAUGAAGGAUUCUUCACUAAUGACGCACAUGUUUUAGUUCGCCUUACAUUGCGUAACUGAGCUGCAUUCGUCAGGACUCCAUAGAGAGAAACACACUAAAAAUCUGGUGGUGUCCUGCAUUCCUCCGUGGCCUCUGCAUCAGCUCCUGCCUCCACGUUCCAUGCCUUGUGUGAGUUCCUGCCUUCAAUGUGUUUGAUGAUGUAACUGUUGUCAUAUGAAAUAAAAAUAAACCCUUUCCUCUCCAA
rnacentral:lncRNA from 1 species